UACGUAGGUGGCAAGCGUUGUCCGGAUUUACUGGGCGUAAAGAGCGCGCAGGCGGUCGUUCAAGUCGCGUGUGAAAGCCCCCGGCUCAACUGGGGAGGGUCACGCGAUACUGAUCGACUCGAAGGCAGGAGAGGGUAGUGGAAUUCCCGGUGUAGUGGUGAAAUGCGUAGAUAUCGGGAGGAACACCAGUGGCGAAGGCGACUACCCGGCCUGUUUCUUGACGCUGAGGCGCGAAAGCUAGGGGAGCAAACGGG
rnacentral:rRNA from 1 species